rnacentral:tRNA from 1 species
GCCUGGUUAGCUCAGUCGGUAGAGCAUCAGACUUUUAAUCUGAGGGUCAAGGGUUCGAAUCCCUUAUCGGGCG